rnacentral:tRNA from 1 species
GCCUAGCUGGCUCAGUUGGUACAGGGUAUGACUCUUGAUCUUGGGGUUGUGAGUUCAAGCCUCACAUUGGGCA